rnacentral:rRNA from 1 species
CAGUAGCCGCGGGAAUACGUAGGGUGCAAGCGUUAAUCGGAAUUACUGGGCGUAAAGCGUGCGCAGGCGGUUAUAUAAGACAGAUGUGAAAUCCCCGGGCUCAACCUGGGAACUGCAUUUGUGACUGUAUAGCUAGAGUACGGCAGAGGGGGAUGGAAUUCCGCGUGUAGCAGUGAAAUGCGUAGAUAUGCGGAGGAACACCGAUGGCGAAGGCAAUCCCCUGGGCCUGUACUGACGCUCAUGCACGAAAGCGUGGGGAGCAAACAGGAUUAGAUACCCCUGUAGUCCUGUCUCUUAUACC